rnacentral:rRNA from 1 species
AGCGAACGCUGGCGGCAGGCCUAACACAUGCAAGUCGAACGAACUCUUCGGAGUUAGUGGCGGACGGGUGAGUAACACGUGGGAACGUGCCUUUUGGUUCGGAAUAACUCCGGGAAACUUGUGCUAAUACCGAAUGUGCCCUUCGGGGGAAAGAUUUAUCGCCAUUAGAGCGGCCCGCGUCUGAUUAGCUAGUUGGUGAGGUAACGGCUCACCAAGGCGACGAUCAGUAGCUGGUCUGAGAGGAUGACCAGCCACACUGGGACUGAGACACGGCCCAGACUCCUACGGGAGGCAGCAGUGGGGAAUCUGACGCAAUGGGCGAAAGCCUGACGCAGCCAUGCCGCGUGAAUGAUGAAGGUCUUAGGAUGGUAAAAUUCUUUCACCGGGGACGAUAAUGACGGUACCCGGAGAAGAAGCCCCGGCUAACUUCGUG